rnacentral:rRNA from 1 species
UACAGAGGUGGCAAGCGUUGUUCGGAAUUACUGGGCGUAAAGGGCGCGUAGGCGGCCUACUAAGUCAGACGUGAAAUCCCCGGGCUCAACCCGGGAACUGCGUCCGAUACUGGCAGGCUUGAAUCCGGGAGAGGGAUGCGGAAUUCCAGGUGUAGCGGUGAAAUGCGUAGAUAUCAAGAGGAACACCUGCGGCGAAGGCGGGUUGCUGGGCCGACACUGACGCUGAGGCGCGAAAGCCAGGGGAGCGAACGGG